rnacentral:SRP_RNA from 1 species
GCCGGACGCGGUGGCGCGCGCCUGUAGUCCCAGCUACUCGGGAGGCUGAGGCAGGAGGAUCGCUUGAGCCCAGGAGUUCUGGGCUGUAGUGCGCUAUGCCGAUCGGGUGUCCGCACUAAGUUCGGCAUCAAUAUGGUGACCUCCCGGGAGCGGGGGACCACCAGGUUGCCUAAGGAGGGGUGAACCGGCCCAGGUUGGAAACGGAGCAGGUCAAAACUCCCGUGCUGAUCAGAAAGUAAAGGACAUUAGAAGAAGGUAAUACUGUGUGACCUAGAAAUUGAAAUUU